CCUACGGGAGGCAGCAGUAGGGAAUAUUGCUCAAUGGGGGAAACCCUGAAGCAGCAACGCCGCGUGGAGGAUGAAGGUUUUCGGAUUGUAAACUCCUUUUGUUAGAGAAGAUAAUGACGGUAUCUAACGAAUAAGCACCGGCUAACUCCGUGCCAGCAGCCGCGGUAAUACGGAGGGUGCAAGCGUUACUCGGAAUCACUGGGCGUAAAGAGCGAGUAGGCGGGAUAGCAAGUCAGAUGUGAAAUCCUAUGGCUUAACCAUAGAACUGCAUUUGAAACUGUUAUUCUAGAGUAUGGUAGAGGUAGGUGGAAUUCUUGGUGUAGGGGUAAAAUCCGUAGAGAUCAAGAGGAAUACUCAUUGCGAAGGCGACCUGCUAGAACAUAACUGACACUGAUGCGCGAAAGCGUGGGUAGCAAACAGGAUUAGAUACCCCAGUAGUC
rnacentral:rRNA from 1 species